AUUGAACGCUGGCGGCAUGCUUUACACAUGCAAGUCGAACGGCAGCGCGGGCUUCGGCCUGUCGGCGAGUGGCGAACGGGUGAGUAAUUCAUCGGAACGUGCCCAGUAGUGGGGGAUAGCCCGGCGAAAGCCGGAUUAAUACCGCAUACGACCUGAGGGUGAAAGCGGGGGACCGAAAGGCCUCCCGCUAUUGGACCGUCCGAUGUCGGAUUAGCUAGUUGGUGGGGUAAAGGCUUACCAAGGCGACGAUCCGUAGCUGGUCUGAGAGGACGACCAGCCACACUGGGACUGAGACACGGCCCAGACUCCUACGGGAGGCAGCAGUGGGGAAUUUUGGACAAUGGGGGCAACCCUGAUCCAGCCAUGCCGCGUGCGGGAAGAAGGCCUUCGGGUUGUAAACCGCUUUUGUUCGGGAAGAAAUCCUCUGGGCUAAUACCCCGGGGGGAUGACGGUACCGGAAGAAUAAGCACCGGCUAACUACGUG
rnacentral:rRNA from 1 species